UACGUAGGGUGCAAGCGUUGUCCGGAAUUAUUGGGCGUAAAGAGCUCGUAGGCGGUCUGUCGCGUCGGAUGUGAAAACCCAGGGCUCAACCCUGGGCCUGCAUUCGAUACGGGCAGACUAGAGUUCGGUAGGGGAGACUGGAAUUCCUGGUGUAGCGGUGAAAUGCGCAGAUAUCAGGAGGAACACCGGUGGCGAAGGCGGGUCUCUGGGCCGAUAUUGACGCUGAGGAGCGAAAGCGUGGGGAGCAAACAGG
rnacentral:rRNA from 1 species